rnacentral:misc_RNA from 1 species
AGCUUGAAAUCAAGCUUUAAUGGAAGAAAAAAAUAACAAGAGAGAGAGAAUGAGAAUGGGUGCCAACCAUGGGGAUGAAUAAAAUGAGAAAUUUGUUUUUCAAUUUUGUUUUUUAUUCCUUUUAUUUGACUUAGUCAUUUUUAAUUAAUUAAAUUUCAUUUUUGAUGUCAUGGGUGAUGUAAUUUGGAUUAUGUCAUUAUUCAUUUUCUUUUCUUUUUUCUUUU